rnacentral:lncRNA from 1 species
AUUAAGGUGAUAGCUUGGGCCAUUUUGGGGAAUUAGUUUUCCUGGGUCUCUGCCACGUAUACAGGGGCUAUACAUGUUAGUGAACUUAUGUUUGCUUUUCUCUUGUUAAUUUGUCUUUUAUUAGAGGGCAGUCUCAGGCAAGAACCUAGAAGGGUAGAGGGAAAAUUAUUUUUCCUCCCCUGCAACUGUCUUUAGCUCUCCUUGUUUUGUCUCAUUCAUGAAAAGAAUAGGGAACGAAAAUGGAGUACAUUUUUGAACUUGCUAACUGCCAAUGCCGUUCAAUGACAUGUGUUACCCAAAAGUAGGGUAACUUAACUUCCUUCCUUUCGUUCAUUUCUUUGGAGAUAAGGAUGCUAAUCCAGUAGGACUACUGUAGCCAUAACUCAAGCAGAAGAGAAUGGAGAAAGUUAAAGAUGCUAAAUUGAGUAUAUAUAUAUGUAAAGAAAGAUCAUUAACCCCAUUUAAAACAUGUGGGUUAAUGAGUCUGUAAAAAGUGAAAUAAACGUUUCUCAACUCAAUUUCUGAAGCUAGUGCAACCACAGGCCCUCCAGGAUUCCAUCUUAUCAACAGAAUAAUUAAGAAAUUGUCUUUCAGAAAAUUUGCAGUCAUGUAGCCAGAGCACGCACAGAAGAAAUCUUUACCUGAAAUGACAGUGGAACCAAAGAUUCUCCUCCCCAUGAAAACAAAAAGACCAAGACAUGAAUGGAACUUAAAAGUUGGACUCAACAGAAAUGUGGGGUCCAUCAUUCAGGAAGAUCAGAUGUUAAAAUUGCUUCCCCACCUUUCCAUAAAUGUUUAGAACAUUACAUUGCUUGAAACCCACCAAUCAAAACCUGUCCCAGGGCCAGCCCAGUGGCACAGUGGUUAACGUCAUAUGCUCUGCUUCAGCAGCCUGGGGUUUGCUGGUUCAGAUCCCAGGUGCGGACCUACACACGGCUUAUCAAGCCAUGUGGCAGGUGUCCCACAUAUAAAAUAGAGGAAGAUGCCCACAGAUGUUAGCUCAGGGGCCAAUCUUCCUCAGCAAAAAGAGGAGGAUUGUUGGCAGAUGCUAGCUCAGGGCUAAUCUUCCUCAAAAGAAAAAAAUACACCUGUCCCACUAGAGUUUCUGUCUGCCAGCCUGUUCUCCAUAACCUCUUAAAUUUCACCCCAAAUCCUGAAUCAGGGAGGCAGAUCUGAGGGCACAUACCCUGUCUCACCCCGGCAGAUUGAUCUUGCAGAAUAAAGUUGAUUUCUUUUACCAAAAGCUG